CUGGUACAACACCACUCUGCUAUACCGUGUUCAUUUCAGUAUCUAAAACUCUGGGGUUUGGCUGGAAAAUAUUAGACUAAUCCCAGAUAAUUAACAAAUUGAAUUGUCUCUAUUUUACCGCUGAUUAAAAAGCUGAAAGAGCCAUUCUGAUGUACCAGAGGAUUACAAGAGAAGGUAUCCAAGUGUACAGCCUGGGCACUACACACUCACCACAGACAGCUGCUCUCCUGUUGCCUCCCUCAGUACAUCAGGCCACUGGCUCU